GCCCGGGUGGCGAAACCGGUAAACGCAGGGGACUUAAAAUCCCCCGGCCGCAAGGCCAUGUGGGUUCGACUCCCACCCCGGGCACCA
rnacentral:tRNA from 1 species